rnacentral:rRNA from 1 species
ACGGGGGGGGUAAGCGUUGUUCGGAAUUACUGGGCGUAAAGGGCUCGUAGGCGGCCAACUAAGUCAGACGUGAAAUCCCUCAGCUUAACUGGGGAACUGCGUCUGAUACUGGAUGGCUUGGAUCCGGUAGAGGGAAGCGGAAUUUCCGGUGUAGCGGUGAAAUGCGUAGAUAUCGGAAGGAACAUCAGUGGCGAAAGCGGCUUCCUGGACCAGUACCGACGUUCAGGCACGAAAGCGUGGGGAGCAAACAGGA